UACGAAGGGGGCUAGCGUUGCUCGGAAUCACUGGGCGUAAAGCGCACGUAGGCGGAUUGCUAAGUCAGGGGUGAAAUCCUGGAGCUCAACUCCAGAACUGCCUUUGAUACUGGCAACCUUGAGUCCGGGAGAGGUGAGUGGAACUGCGAGUGUAGAGGUGAAAUUCGUAGAUAUUCGCAAAGAACACCAGUGGCGAAGGCGGCUCACUGGCCCGGUACUGACGCUGAGGUGCGAA
rnacentral:rRNA from 1 species